UGUACUAUGGUCUCUGACAGCUAGAGGUGUGUUAUGAACAGCAGCUGCCAGAGGCCCACGAUGGAAGAGCAGCACAAGUGCCAGUGCCAAAUGUUGACAGCUUUGAUAGAAUAUGGGGUUUGUUUACUGAAGUUUGAGCGGUUUCCUUUUUGGUGAUUUAACAAAACAUCUUUGGCCUGCAGUACGAGCUUCUCCUGUAUUCAAUCUUCUA